GUCUUUAUUGCACUUUUCUUUGCUGUUGUAACAAAUUACUCGACCUACAGCAGUUGGCCGAGUAUCCCUGUGAAUUAGUCACUGGAUAACCAGGGAAUUUAUUCAGUGAAUUCAUAUAUAAGAUCAUAGCUUGUUAGUUUUACAGUUCAUGGUUAUUACAUACAUUUUACAAACUAUAUUGUUUCAUGAUUACGGAAAGUGUACAGUUUUGUCCGGUUUUGUUUCAAAAGAUUAAAACUUUAUGAUCGUUGACCUUAACCUUAUUGAUGAAAACCGUUGAAGCUGGUUGAUCAAUUGUCCGGAUUAAUUUAUAUGUUUUAUUGAUACACACGAACAACUUCAACUUUAGUUAAAAAUUACAUG
rnacentral:lncRNA from 1 species